rnacentral:rRNA from 1 species
GACGGAGGAUGCAAGCGUUAUCCGGAAUUAUUGGGCGUAAAGCGUCCGCAGGUGGCUGUUCAAGUCUGCUGUCAAAGCGCAGAGCUUAACUCUGUACAGGCGGUGGAAACUGAAGAGCUAGAGUAUGGUAGGGGUAGAGGGAAUUCCCGGUGUAGCGGUGAAAUGCGUAGAUAUCGGGAAGAACACCAGUGGCGAAGGCGGGUCUCUGGGCAGUAACUGACGCUGAGGAGCGAAAGCGUGGGGAGCGAACAGG